rnacentral:rRNA from 1 species
AACGUGGGUAACCUGCCUUAUAGUGGGGGAGUAGCCUUUCGAAAGGAAGAUUAAUACNCAUAAGAUUGUAGUAUCGCAUGAUAUAGCAAUUAAAGGAGCAAUUCGCUAUAAGAUGGACCCGCGUCGCAUUAGCUAGUUGGUGAGGUAAUGGCUCACCAAGGCGACGAUGCGUAGCCGACCUGAGAGGGUGAUCGGCCACAUUGGGACUGAGACACGGCCCAGACUCCUACGGGAGGCAGCAUG